UACGUAGGGACCGAGCGUUGUCCGGAAUCAUUGGGCGUAAAGAGCGUGUAGGCGGCUUGUUAAGUCUUGCGUGAAAUCUCGGGGCUCAACCCCGAGCGGUCGUGAGAAACUGGCAGGCUAGAGUGCGGGAGAGGAGAGUGGAAUUCCUGGUGUAGCGGUGAAAUGCGCAGAUAUCAGGAAGAACACCCGUGGCGAAGGCGGCUCUCUGGAACGCAACUGACGCUGAGACGCGAAAGCGUGGGGGAGCAAACAGG
rnacentral:rRNA from 1 species